CCUGGUGGCUGAGAGUGUAAAGCGUCCGCCUGCAAUGCGGGUGACCUAGGUUCGAUCCCUGGGUCAGGA
rnacentral:tRNA from 1 species